UACAGAGGGUGCAAGCGUUGUUCGGAAUUAUGGGCGUAAAGCGCGUGUAGGCGGCUUUGCAAGUCGGGUGUGAAAGCCCUCAGCUUAACUGAGGAAGUGCGCCCGAAACUGCAGAGCUUGAGUACCGGAGAGGAUGGUGGAAUUCCCCAAGUAGAGGUGAAAUUCGUAGAUAUGGGGAGGAACACCGGUGGCGAAGGCGACCAUCUGGACGGAUACUGACGCUGAGACGCGAAAGCGUGGGUAGCAAACAGG
rnacentral:rRNA from 1 species